GUGGGGAAUAUUGGACAAUGGGGGCAACCCUGAUCCAGCCAUGCCGCGUGUGUGAAGAAGGCCUUUUGGUUGUAAAGCACUUUAAGCGAGGAGGAGGCUUACCUGGUUAAUACCUGGGAUAAGUGGACGUUACUCGCAGAAUAAGCACCGGCUAACUCUGUGCCAGCAGCCGCGGUAAUACAGAGGGUGCAAGCGUUAAUCGGAUUUACUGGGCGUAAAGCGCGCGUAGGUGGCUAAUUAAGUCAAAUGUGAAAUCCCCGAGCUUAACUUGGGAAUUGCAUUCGAUACUGGUUAGCUAGAGUAUGGGAGAGGAUGGUAGAAUUCCAGGUGUAGCGGUGAAAUGCGUAGAGAUCUGGAGGAAUACCGAUGGCGAAGGCAGCCAUCUGGCCUAAUACUGACACUGAGGUGCGAAAGCAUGGGGAGCAAACAGGAUUAGAUACCCUUGUAGUCC
rnacentral:rRNA from 1 species